rnacentral:pre_miRNA from 1 species
AGAUGAAUCACCAAAGAAUCUUAUAAAAAUACAGAUUCUGAUUCAGUAGAUCUGAGUUGGGGCUGAGUUUCUGCAUUUCUUACAAGCUUCCAGGUGAUCCUGAU